rnacentral:rRNA from 1 species
AAUCAACGCUGGCGGCGUGCCUCAGACAUGCAAGUCGAACGAGAAAGUUUCCUUCGGGGAAUGAGUAAAGUGGCGCACGGGUGAGUAACACGUAGGUAAUCUACCUUCGGGUGGGGAAUAACCCAGGGAAACUUGGGCUAACACCGCAUAAUGCAGCGGCACCACAUGGUGACAGUUGUUAAAGCGGGGGAUUUUAGGGCCUCGCGCCUGAAGAGGAGCCUGCGGCGGAUUAGCUAGUUGGGAGGUAAUGGCUCACCAAGGCUUCGAUCUGUAGCUGGUCUGAGAGGGACGGCC